UACGUAGGGCGCAGGCGUUGUCCGGAAUUAUUGGGCGUAAAGAGCUCGUAGGCGGUUUGUCGCGUCUGCUGUGAAAACCUAAGGCUCAACCUUGGGCUUGCAGUGGGUACGGGCGAGACUAGAGUGCGGUAGGGGUGACUGGAAUUCCUGGUGUAGCGGUGGAAUGCGCAGAUAUCAGGAGGAACACCGAUGGCGAAGGCAGGUCACUGGGCCGCAACUGACGCUGGAGGAGCGAAAGCGUGGGGAGCAAACAGG
rnacentral:rRNA from 1 species